rnacentral:piRNA from 1 species
UGAUAGGUGGAACGAGUUUUGUGUGA